AUCUUAUCAAAAGAGGUACAAGAAUACAUCUAAUAUUUAUCUAGCUCAUAUUUCAAGAUUUCUCUAAGUAAUUAUAGAAUAAUGUCUGGAAUUUUCAAGAUUAUUGGGUUCGAGAAGAUCAGAAGGUCGUGUUUGGAUGGAGAUGAUGAUGGUGAUUACGAUUAUGCUCCAGCAGCAUGUUUAGAGAGAGAUGGUGAUGAUGAUGGAGAUUAUGAUUAUGCUCCUGCAGCAUUCUUGGAAGGAGACGAUGAUGAUCGAGAUUAUGACUAUGCUCCUGCAACAUCGUUAGACGGAGAUGACGAUGGAGAUUAUGAUUAUGCUCCGGCUGCCUGAAUAAGUUCAUUGAAGGCUCUUGGUAGAGACAAAUUUAGAAUAGAAACAACAUUCUUGGUCAAACUUACUGUUGUCUAAUUCAAACUUAAGGAAGUUUAGUUGGAAGAAUUAAGAACCUUGGUUUUCAUAAUCCUAGUC